GAUGAACGCUGGCGGCGUGCUUAACACAUGCAAGUCGAACGAACCUUCGGGUUAGUGGCGGACGGGUGAGUAACGCGUGAGAAUCUGCCCUCAGGAGGGGGAUAACGGCUGGAAACGGCCGCUAAUACCCCAUAUGCCGAGAGGUGAAAUGAAUUUCGCCUGAGGAUGGGCUCGCGUCUGAUUAGCUUGUUGGUGGGGUAAUGGCCUACCAAGGCGACGAUCAGUAGCUGGUCUGAGAGGAUGAUCAGCCACACUGGGACUGAGACACGGCCCAGACUCCUACGGGAGGCAGCAGUGGGGAAUUUUCCGCAAUGGGCGAAAGCCUGACGGAGCAACGCCGCGUGAGGGAUGAAGGCCUCUGGGCUGUAAACCUCUUUUAUCAAGGAAGAAGAUCUGACGGUACUUGAUGAAUAAGCCACGGCUAAUUCCGUG
rnacentral:rRNA from 1 species